GUACAGGACGCCGUCUACAGCGGCCAGAGGGAGCUCGGGGUCUGCGGGGCACCUACCAGGUGUCCCACGCCAGCAGAUCCCAGGGGAGACAGGCCCCCAAGCAUGGGCUCCCUGCGGGCAGGAGCUGGUGAACCAGAAUGCUGUCGUGAUACCUGGAGUUGAAGCAGCCACUUUGCACCAUAAAGAUGAAAACCCCAUGCCAGGGAAGCCAGAAGGACAUCUCAAGAGGCUGCCCCUCUGCUGUGCUUCCUGCUUACGUCAGCAUGGCUGGGUUUCUGUGACUUGCCGCUAACUACAAAUCCUGACUCAUCAACAGGCUUUCUCAGGACUUUCAAGAUGUUCAGCAGAAGGGCCAACCCAAAGCAGCUGCUUAAUAAACACUGAGCAAAGGAGUGAAUGGAUGGACGAGGUGACCUGAGACUCCAGGACCUGAACGGCAAAUGCAGCCCGAAAGGGAAGCAUGUCAAACAAUGCUGUCAAGCUCAGGAGGCCUGGAUUCCUCCUGGGGCCAAGCUGUGUGACCCCGAAUUCCGAGGAGAGAUCAAUAGGAAAGAGGCAGAACCACACUGAUGGAGCACCCCGGGCCAAGAACCACCUGUCACCUCUGAAUCUCCACGCCACCCAGCAAACGGGCGCCCUGGUCAGCCCUAUUUAACAAAUGAGGAGAC